CAGCUGGACGGGAACCACCGCCCUCCCGCGGGGCUAGGGUCACCCUGCCGGGACACGCAAGGAAAACCCAAACAUUCCCGCCUCCGAGAUCGAACGAAUGGACCGCGGUGAUUUAACUACGAGAAUCACCGGGCGCUCUUCGGGCUGAUCAAUACCUCGUCUGACCUAGAUGGGUUUGGUCGCCGCCACUGGCCGGAGCGCCGAAGCACCGGGGACGCGGACACACAGGGAAUAAGACAUGGACACCUUUGAGAGGUCAUUUUUCUGCUCACCACAAGGCCCCAAGGAAAUGGAAGAGGAUGCUAAUGGAGGGACCCACUGGCACCCAUUGAGUUGUCUCCAGACGCAGCUUUGAGACGAACCACAGAUGUGUUUCCUGUUGUCUUGAAAUAUGCCUUUGAAUGUGCUUUAACACUCUAUUCCCUUCCCUUUCCCACCUUAUGCUCCCAUGCCUUAUGCACAUUUGUUUACCUGGAUGCUAGUUAAGCUCACAUCAUACUCACUUACCUGGUCAUAUAUUUCUUUAGAAGCUUCAGGGGCCUAAUCCUGACACAAAAACAGGCACUUCUGGGAUUCUCUCCCCAGCCGGAGAUUACUUCUAGGCCAGAGUUCACUCCCAGCUAGAUAUUGACUACAGGACUGACUGGGAUUGAUUUGUAACUUGGAUGAGCCCAUGAAGGUGCUGGCCCCCUCACCAGAUGGAACAAUAAUUCAAGAUAAGCUACUGGGGCAAGCCCACGCCACCUGGCACCUACUGGCCCCCUUGCCUCUCCUGCAUUCAAAGCCCCUCUUCUGAAACCCCUGCCCUCUCUCCAGAAAUUGUAUUCUGACCACUUUCCUCCUUGCUGGCAAUGGAUAAUAAAAUUCACUCUUUAUCAUA